GUUCGUUCAAAAUAACCGUCAUUUCUUUUCUGUGGAUCACUUUAACGGAUAUGGCAGGAGUGUUUCGAGGUGCGUAAUUUUCAGACUUUCCCUGAGAGCUGUUCUUGUCGUUAACUGGACGAUUCUUUCGUUAACCAGUGUAGCGGUGCGCGGUGCAUUCUCGGAAAGGAAAUUCAGGUGAUAAGGAUGACACGAUCUUUCGGACAUUAUUCAGCCGGGCAUCGGUCAGUGAGUGAUAUCUUACUGUGUGAUUCUUUA